CAUGUUUGCUCGCGCAAAUGUAUGUGCGAUUUAUAAGCUGCGAAGACAUGAAAGUAAGAAUCCAGUAUUACUCUAUCCAUGUUCCAUUAAACUUGAUCCAGUCUUUGUCCCAUGAUCUGACACCUAUAACUUCGCAUACAUUGGCAUCAUUUCACCUCCUCCUUUAUCGAAGUACACCUACGCAGCGGACAUAAGCUGUCAUAAGAGUUACCUGCAAUCAACACAAAUAACGUCAUAUAUUUCUUAACUAAGUCAAGUUCGUUCCGGAGAUAAUAUAAUAGACGGAAGUCUUAUUUUAUCACGGUUAUAAUCGUGCUGAAAAAAUAUUUUUGCAUUCUACAUAACGGCCUCUUAUGCUUUAGACCUACGCGAAAUAAACUGUUCUGCCAUCUUACAGCGCUCGAUCGCUAGCACGAAUUUGGAGUGGGAAGAACGGCACCGUGCUUUGCUAUUACAUAUCAUUUCUCGAUCGAAACGUCUGUUAACGACCUCAGAAGUUGUGUGUUUACAUAUGGCAUACACAUUUAUUGUAAUAUCGCCAAGUGUUAUUAGUCUUUGGAAGUUUCUCGAAAUAAUAAGAAAUCACAAGUGCGCAUGUAUAUCUUUCAUGUUACAAUGAUAGUGGAUAAAACAUUAAUUUAUUGCAGCUAAUUAUUGUAACGAAACAUACACUUGCUUAGAAAUUGUAGUAUAUCUCAUUAUACAGAAUAUCUAAGAUAAAAGUAGUAUCAUGUUUCUUAAACUAUUGUUAAGCAGCAGUUUAACUAUCAUCGUCGCUGCGGCUUUUUUAACCGACGAGAUAAUUAAAAUAACUCAGGAAGAGUUAAACAGGCAUUCAAAUUAUAUAUUUCCGCAUCGUUAUGAUAUCAUCGUUACACAUAUCGAAGAAAAUAUUCUUGUCUGUAACUGCAUUAUACGUACAGAGAUUAAACAUCCAACAUCAAGCAUAUUAUUGUAUUAUUUACACGUAAAAAAUAUUAAUCUAACUAUGUUUUAUUCUUCAUAUUUUAAAAAUGAUACUCAAGAAGAGAUCAUUUAUACAUCGGUAAAAUUUAUGUAUGAUGUUGAGAAAAACAUUGUCAAAUUUAUAUUCCCUAAUGAUCUAUUGCCAGGGUAUUACAACAUAAAAUUAGUUUAUAAUAUAACUGAAGAUACAGGCCUAAAAACCUUUUAUAAAAGAGAUGAGCGACAAUGGUUUGCAACGUAUGUUAAUCAUAUUGGGAUCCAACACAUGAUUCCGUCUUUGCCCGAAUCUUUAAGCAGAAUGCCAUAUUAUAAUCCCAACUACAAUAUUAUUAUCGAACAUUAUCAAAACUAUAAAGUUUUAUUAAGUCCACUGAUACAAACAACAGAAAGGAAU